UGGGCCAUAGCUCAGUUGGCAAAGUGUCUGCCUCAUAAGCAUGAGGACCUGAGUUCAAUUCCCAGAGCCCAC
rnacentral:tRNA from 1 species